rnacentral:rRNA from 1 species
CGGACGGGUGAGUAACGCGUGGGAAACCUGCCCUGUACCGGGGGAUAACACUUAGAAAUAGGUGCUAAUACCGCAUAAGCGCACAGCUUCACAUGAAGCAGUGUGAAAAACUCCAGUGGUACAGGAUGGUCCCGCGUCUGAUUAGCCAGUUGGCAGGGUAACGGCCUACCAAAGCGACGAUCAGUAGCCGGCCUGAGAGGGUGAACGGCCACAUUGGGACUGAGACACGGCCCAA